CGGCAGGCUUAACACAUGCAAGUCGAGCGGGGAGAUGUAGCUUGCUACAUUUCCUAGCGGCGGACGGGUGAGUAAUGCUUAGGAAUCUGCCUAUUAGUGGGGGACAACAUUCCGAAAGGAAUGCUAAUACCGCAUACGCCCUACGGGGGAAAGCAGGGGAUCUUCGGACCUUGCGCUAAUAGAUGAGCCUAAGUCAGAUUAGCUAGUUGGUGGGGUAAAGGCCUACCAAGGCGACGAUCUGUAGCGGGUCUGAGAGGAUGAUCCGCCACACUGGGACUGAGACACGGCCCAGACUCCUACGGGAGGCAGCAGUGGGGAAUAUUGGACAAUGGGCGAAAGCCUGAUCCAGCCAUGCCGCGUGUGUGAAGAAGGCCUUUUGGUUGUAAAGCACUUUAAGCGAGGAGGAGGCUACUUGGAUUAAUACUCUAGGAUAGUGGACGUUACUCGCAGAAUAAGCACCGGCUAACUCUGUGCCAGCAGCCGCGGUAAUACAGAGGGUGCGAGCGUUAAUCGGAUUUACUGGGCGUAAAGCGUGCGUAGGCGGCUUUUUAAGUCGGAUGUGAAAUCCCUGAGCUUAACUUAGGAAUUGCAUCCGAUACUGGGAAGCUAAGUAUGGGAAAGGAUGGUAGAAUUCCAGGUGUUACNGUGAAUGCGUAAAAUCUGGAAGGAAUACCGAUGGC
rnacentral:rRNA from 1 species